UAGGGAAUCUUCCGCAAUGGACGCAAGUCUGACGGAGCAACGCCGCGUGAGUGAAGAAGGAUUUCGGUUCGUAAAACUCUGUUGUUAGAGAAGAACAGCGCAUAGAGUAACUGUUAUGCGUGUGACGGUAUCUAACCAGAAAGCCACGGCUAACUACGUGCCAGCAGCCGCGGUAAUACGUAGGUGGCAAGCGUUGUCCGGAUUUAUUUGGCGUAAAGCGAGCGCAGGCGGUCAAUUGAGUGUGAUGUGAAAGCCCCCGGCUCAACCGGGGAGGGUCAUUGGAAACUGGUGGACUUGCGUGCAGAAGAGGAGAGUGGAAUUCCAGGUGUAGCGGUAAAAGGCGUAGUUAUAUGGAGGAACACCAGUGGGGAGGGCGACUCUCUGGUCUGUAACUGACGCUGAGGCUCGAAAGCGUGGGUAGCAAACAGG
rnacentral:rRNA from 1 species